GGGAUAUUAGCUCAGAGGUAGAGCGGUGCAUGGUAUUGGUAUUUGUAGUUUGUCAUGGUAUUAUUUAAAGGUUUCAUGCACAGGUCACGGCGUUCAAGUCCCGUAUAUCCCA
rnacentral:tRNA from 3 species